CUCUCAAACUAAAGAUGAGGAUUCAAUGUACUGAACCAACCUGAUGGUCUAACCUCGGAGAUAAGGAUAGCAAAUUAACCAUCCAGUCAUUCGUCUGAAACAGGGAACACAGUAGAACUGCUACCUCUCUCUGUCCAAUACUGGAAACAAACAAACAAACAAAAAUGGUGACUUGAAUAUGUGGCAACUGAAAGCACGCAGCCCAGAAGUAUAAUUGGUAAAAUAUGAAGUUCUAAGAAUUGUAAGACUCAGCUCUGGUCUCUUUCUUGUGACAAGUCCACCUUUAAGUAGGGAUUACUCAUGGAGACACAAAGCCACCUGUCCUGUAGACAAACUUUCCUGCACCUGAGACCAAAGACUUCCCUGCUUAAAUGUUUGCCCUAAGGAUUCCCAAGGCUCUCUCACAUGCAGGGUGUGCAUAUCCCAGGGUUUGAGGGGUUGUCAUUGAGGAAGUGAUGUAGACAGAGCUUGUUCAUCAGAAACUAGACUGUCCACACACCUCUGUGAGAAUCCUCACAGUGCACUACUGAGUUGGGGUGGAGACAAGCAAGAUAAAGGCAGAGGGGGUUGGGAUGUGGAUCUCGAAUUUUCUCUGGUAUCUAUUGAAGUCAGCAGAGUCUGGCCACCAUUACCCGUGUAGUGAAGAGCUAGAGACAAUUACACAGAAGCUUUUGUGAUAAGGGGAAUCAUAAAAACAGAAAGGGUAUAAAAUCAUGUGGAAAGUAAACACAGAGGAAACAACAUCAGAGCCUGCAUGCCCUUCUCAUUCCCCCAAGCACGUGGGAUGAGAUGACACAAAAUGGAGGUGGGAGAGUCCACUUUGGGUGGCAGCGUUGAGGAUGCUGCUGGCCUGCAGUUCACAGCUUGAAAGAAAACUAGAGGAGUUUCACACCCACUCCAUCCAUUCCCUAAACAGUUUAGCAGUGGAGCAAACAGCUACUGCUCGCUGGAAGUGAGCCGGUGGGUUUCAUAAAAUAAAUUCUGCUUGCCCUGUUUUGGUAGAAAACCCUCUGCACCCCAGUCCCCAGGCCAGAAAUAUGGUAAGCUUAAGGUGUCUUCCGUAAAUAAUCUUUCCAUUGCUUUUUCUUCUUACCGGACUCCUGUGCAAACCUUUCAUUCUCGGCACACUCCCUUUUCCUGCAUGAGAUACACAUUUUUCUAGUAGCAUUACCACUGCCCACAUUGUCUGUCAGGCUGGGCUUGGAACGUCUAGAAACACUGCUGCAUUUUGAACCACUCUGUAACUAUGACAACGGAUGAUAAACAACGGUUUCUGUCAGCGCCAUUGUGAAACUGGUCAAUUACCGACACACUCUGGGAAUGAGUCCUUCCAAUGGGCCCUCAUGGUCGACUGGCUGUGGAGAUGAAUGUGAACAAGCUAUCAACAGUUCCUUCCAGACUGAGCUUCAGGAGAGAACCCUUGAGUGCAGUUGUUUUCCAGCUGGGGCCACAAACAUGACUCUAGAGGAUUACAAGAACGGUUCCUGUUUUGUUUUGUUAGGAUUGCUUAAGCAAGUUGUCAUUCGUUAAAGGAAGGCUCAGGCCAUGCUGUGGGGUGCAUGGUUCCAAGGACAGGCUUGCCUUUCGUUCCUUCUAGUUUUGGUCCCACCUUUCUUGGGUAUCUUUCUGGAUUUCUUUUUUUUUUUUUUUAAGGAAAACAAAAACGUCUCUCAUAUUCUUACAUCAGGUUGUCUUGAUGUCUUUGUGCCUCUGUCUUCACAUCUCACAGGGCUGGAUUCUCUUAACCUCAGUUGGGUGAGUUCCUGUUACCCCAGUCUUAUUACUCUGGGCUGGUUCCCAGCCUUCUGCUAGAGCUAAAGGCUUCAGAACUUAAGUCGGAGGCACUGUAACUUCCAACCCACAGACCCCGCAGGAAGGAAGACCUUGUGGGCCAGCUCAGUGCGAGUGCUAGGACCGCCCCCAGCCCCCUUCCAGAGCCCAAACAGUGUGCCUCUGCCCUGCCUGGCCCCUCUGUAGCAGCUCACAAGCGAUCUAAAUUGCUUGCCUGGAUGCCACGACUGGACUGGCCCCCCGGAAGGCGCUGGAGAGAGCGUCUGCUCCUCUAUGCUCUGUCAAGCAGCCCUGGCUGGGGCAGGUGAGGAGCAUCGAGAGCGACCGGAUAUUGUAGGGAAGAGGCCAGUGCGCGCACCGCCAGGAGACCCAAGCAAGUCUGCCCUUGGUGCGAGUUGGGGGCCGGAAGGGAGCUCUGGAUUUCGGUCCCUCCCCUUUCCCUGCUCUGUCUUGGAGCAGUGGGGCCAUCAGACCCUCCUACUGUCUGGUACCUGCCUGGAGGAGAGACCAUCUCUCCUCAACGCCCUCCACCAUGGACAAUUCUUUCAAUGACUCCAGGCGAGUGGAGAACUGCGAGAGUCGUCAGUAUCUCCUUUCGGACGAAAGCCCAGCCAUCAGCUCGGUGAUGUUCACGGCCGGGGUUCUGGGAAACCUCAUCGCGCUGGCACUGUUGGCGCGCCGCUGGCGUGGGGACACGGGGUGUAGCGCCGGCAGCAGGACCUCUAUCUCCUUGUUCCACGUGCUGGUAACGGAACUGGUGCUCACCGACCUGCUGGGGACCUGCCUCAUAAGCCCGGUGGUGCUGGCUUCUUAUUCGAGAAACCAGACCCUAGUGGCCCUGGCUCCCGAAAGCCGCGCGUGUACCUAUUUCGCUUUCACUAUGACCUUCUUUAGUCUGGCCACGAUGCUCAUGCUCUUCGCCAUGGCCCUGGAACGCUACCUCGCCAUCGGACACCCUUACUUCUACAGGCGCCGCGUCUCUCGCCGCGGGGGUUUGGCGGUGCUGCCUGCCAUCUAUGGGGUCUCCUUGCUCUUCUGUUCUCUGCCGCUGCUCAACUACGGGGAGUACGUCCAGUACUGUCCUGGGACGUGGUGCUUUAUCCAGCACGGGAGGACCGCAUACCUUCAGCUGUACGCCACGGUGCUCCUGCUGCUCAUCGUGGCUGUGCUCGGCUGCAACAUCAGCGUGAUCCUCAACCUUAUUCGCAUGCAGCUUCGGAGCAAAAGAAGCCGCUGCGGAUUGUCUGGCAGUAGCCUGAGAGGCCCCGGGUCUCGCCGGAGAGGAGAAAGGACUUCUAUGGCGGAGGAGACGGACCACCUCAUUCUCCUGGCCAUUAUGACCAUCACCUUCGCUGUAUGCUCCCUGCCUUUCACAAAGAGAGCCACGGGCCUUCACGACACCCUUGAACAGAAGUGUCUGCAUACCUCGUGUCCAGGUGGUCACUUGUGAAUCUCACAUGAAGCUUUCACAUCAAAGACUUUCUAUGGAGGUGUCAGGAUAGUGUCUAGGGACUGGCAUUGAAGCUGGAACCCCACCACUGCAGUUGAACGCCAUAGACAAAGUAACUAGUCUUUUGAACCCUGGCUUCCUCCUCUCUAAAAGGAUUCUGCGUUCUCGUGGGGGAGGUUUUAAGCCUCCAAAGGCCACGCCUUAGCCAAGACGGAAUAAGUCAAAGAAGCAGUGCAACCGAAUGUAUUAACUCCCCCCUGGAGAUCUCACAGCUGAACCCAAUUAAGUGCUCAUUUCACCCUAAGAUUCCCACUUGUAUCUGAUAAAAGAUAGGAAAGAAGUUUAAAUGACAGUCCCUGGCCACUGCCAAGAAGAAGCUUUCCAUCGAUGCCUGCCUGCCUGCCUGGCUGCCUCAGACAUGGCUGAAACAGAAGAGUCCGGUCGGUGCUACUGCAUAUGUGUCUCAGAAAUGUAGUCUUUGCAAAACCUGGUGUGUGGUGAGCCUCAAGCUGUUAGCUCACUCCACACAUUAGACUCGCACGUGGUACUUUCCUCACAGCGAGGAUAGUGGUGGUGCGGGCCAGGAGGCUCAUGCAUUCCCACCAACCUCUGGAUUUGACCUUCAAAUGUCACCAGUAUGCCACUCGGUGAUUCCUGUGCCUCCUACAUGUCAGUUAUUCGUAAGAACCGAGGAUCUUUGCUUAUAUGGAUGAAACCUCUUCCCGAAAGGAAAAGUGGGACCUCCGAGCUCUUAGAUUUUUAUCAGUGAACUCCAUAAUUGAUCCUUGGGUUUUUGUCAUCCUUAGACCACCAGUCCUGAGACUAAUGCGC